rnacentral:rRNA from 1 species
GUAGUUAGCCGGGGCUUUCUUACAGGGUACCGUCACUUCUUCGUCCCCUGCGACAGAGGUUUACAAUCCGAAAACCUUCUUCCCUCACGCGGCGUUGCUGGGUCAGGCUUGCGCCCAUUGCCCAAUAUUCCCCACUGCUGCCUCCCGUAGGAGUCUGGACCGUGUCUCAGUUCCAGUGUGGCCGAUCAGCCUCUCAGCUCGGCUACCCAUCGUCGGCUUGGUGGGCUGUUAUCUCACCAACUACCUAAUGGGACGCGAACCCCUCUAAAAGCGAUAAAUCUUUGACCUCUUCCCGAUGCCGGGUUGUGGUCUUAUGCGGUAUUAGCAGUUGUUUCCACCUGUUAUUCCCCACUCUUAGGCAGGUUGUUCACGCGUUACUCACCCGUGCGCCACUAGAAUUAUCAAUUCCAUCCGAAAACUUCCUUAAUAAUCCCCGUUCGACUUGCAUGUGUUAGGCACGCCGCCAGCGUUCGUCCUGAACCAAGAUCAAACUCUGA